GACUCAACUUGAUAAUUCCUCCAAUGAAUCCCAUGAGAUUUUCAAAAACUUUCACUUUAGAUUCAUGGGGUACAUGUGCAGGUUUGUUACGUGGGGAUAUUGUAUGACGCUAAGGUCUGGGGUAUGAAUGAUUCCGCAGGACCCAGGUACAACGCAAUAGGUGGAUUUUCAGUACUUGUCCCUUCACGUGAUGAACAUACAGGUGCAAGUGUCUUUUUUUUUUUUUUUUGGAAUGACGUAUCUUCCUUUGCAGAUAUACCCAGUCAUGGGAUUGCUGGGUUGAAUGGUAGUUCUUUUCUAAGUUCUUUGAAAAAUCUUCAAACUGCUUUCCAUCAUGGCUGAACAAAUUUACAAUCACACCAACAGGGUAUAAGUGUUCCCCUGUCUCUAUAGCCUUGCCAGCAUCUGUUAUUUUUUUCCUUUGAUGAUAGCCAUUCUGACUGGUGUGAGAUGGUAUCUCAUGGUGGUUUCAAUGUUCAUUACUCUGAUGAUUAGUGAUGUUAAGCAUUUUUUCCUAUGUUUGCUGGGUGAUUGUAUGUGUUCCUUUGAGAAAUGCCCGUUCACAUCCUUUGCCCAGUUUUUCACAGGGUUGUUUGCUUUUUGCUUCCAGAUUUGUUUAAAGUAUCUUAUAGAUUCUGGAUAUUAGACCUUUGUCAGAUGCAGUUUGUGAAUAUUUUUUCCCAUUCUGUAGGCUGGCUGUUUACUCUGUUGAGUUUCUUUUCCUGUGUGGAAGCUCUUUAGUUUAAUUAGGUCACAGUUGUCAAUUUUUGGUUUGGUUGCAAUUGCUUUUGAGGACGUAGUUGUAAAUUCUUCCUCUGGGCUGAUGUCCUGAACAGUAUUUCCUAGGUUUUCUUCUUCAUAGAGCUCUUGUGGUUUGAGGUCUUGCAUUUAAAUCUUUGAUCAGAGAUAUGCUGGAUAUAAAGACAGGACUCAACCAUAUUCAAGAGUUGUCUCACACGUGACAACAUCUACAGGCUCCAAGUAAAGGGAUGGAGAAAUAUCUGCCAUGCAAUCCAAAAAAAAAAAAAAAAA
rnacentral:lncRNA from 1 species